GGGAUCAUCUAUCUGGUCAGUUCACAUGUCGGUGAUAUUAUCAUUUAUGUCAUACUGACGAAAACUGGAGGUGUCUUUUCGGUGCAAUCAAUUAGUGGCACGGGCGGACACUGUUACAGAACCACCGACCUGCCGUAUGUCAGAAGGAUGCCUUCUUUAAGUGAAAGAAGUUUGUACCCCUAACGGGGUUUGAACACAUCUUUAGGGGGAUUAACGAUUUCAAGACAACUGCUACAAAUGAUUGGCCACGGAUGCCCCUACAUGUAGCAUAAUGAUCUGUAAGACAAAGUUACAGUGUCAGAUCUCACAAAGUUUGUUCAAAUACACGCCUCGAGACAAAUACUUCAGCGGACAAUUACCUUUUCAUAUCUGAAAAAAAAGUUCGAUGAAUUGUUAGGAUAAGUCAAUGUCACCGAGGUAGGCGCACCAUGAUACAAAAA
rnacentral:lncRNA from 1 species